GAUGAACGCUGCGGCGUGCCUAAUCCAUGCAAGUCGAGCGAACAGACGAGGAGCUUGCUCCUCUGACGUUAGCGGCGGACGGGUGAGUAACACGUGGAUAACCUACCUAUAAGACUGGGAUAACUUCGGGAAACCGGAGCUAAUACCGGAUAAUAUAUUGAACCGCAUGGUUCAAUAGUGAAAGACGGUUUUGCUGUCACUUAUAGAUGGAUCCGCGCCGCAUUAGCUAGUUGGUAAGGUAACGGCUUACCAAGGCGACGAUGCGUAGCCGACCUGAGAGGGUGAUCGGCCACACUGGAACUGAGACACGGUCCAGACUCCUACGGGAGGCAGCAGUAGGGAAUCUUCCGCAAUGGGCGAAAGCCUGACGGAGCAACGCCGCGUGAGUGAUGAAGGUCUUCGGAUCGUAAAACUCUGUUAUUAGGGAAGAACAAAUGUGUAAGUAACUAUGCACGUCUUGACGGUACCUAAUCAGAAAGCCACGGCUAACUACGUG
rnacentral:rRNA from 1 species